UACGGAGGGUGCAAGCGUUAUCCGGAUUCACUGGGUUUACAGGGUGCGUAGGCGGGCAGGUAAGUCAGUGGUGAAAUCUCCGAGCUUAACUCGGAAACUGCCGUUGAUGCUAUUUGUCUUGAAUACUGUGGAGGUAAGCGGAAUAUGUCAUGUAGCGGUGAAAUGCGUAGAUAUGACAUAGAACACCAAUUGCGAAGGCAGCUUACUACACAGCGAUUGACGCUGAGGCACGAAAGCAUGGGGAGCAAACAGG
rnacentral:rRNA from 1 species